GUAUCAUUAACAUGAAUAUUCCAUUUAAAUGGGUUGGGUUUACGGUAAUGUUAUUAUCUGCCAGUUACAGCCACUCUGUUGUUAUCUCCCAUUUUUGUCUUUGCAGAGAAACAAGUUUGCAGUUUUCAUCUACAAAGAGACUUUGAUGCAUAAUGAGUCUGUUAUAGACACAUCUCUCCAGAAGAUUUUCUCUCUUUUCCCCCCACUACACCUAAUUCAACAUCAGCUUGCCACCAUGGGGAUUUGGUUCUGUGGCUCCCACGGUUGCUAAGCAACAGUGAUAAGAAGCCUGCCUCUUCAAUUAUGUGUGAGUUGCAGUUUUUUUUUCUUUCUCACAGCACAUCCAGCCCAAACAAUGAGACACUUCGCCAGGCUUAGACAUUUUCAAAAUCUGUGUCAACUGCAAACAGGGGAGCAGAAUUCAAAAUGCAGUAAAACUCUCCAGUCAAACUCAGAAUCCAUUCAUCUGCGUAUUUUGUUAGGGUGGACUUCUGUUUUCACAAACACACAUUAGUUUUACAUGAUGAUUACACAUAGUAAAUGUAUUUGUCUAUGAACUAUUAAAAUUAAAACAUGAACACAAAAAAAGGAAAUCUCCAUAAAUCCUUUUUUUUUCAUUUGUCUUAGCAAUGAUCAACUAAAAUUAUUCUUUUUGUUUCAUAUAACUUGUUAAAAGAAUGUGAGUAACUACAUAAAAUCUGAUACUGGGAAAUUCAAGUUUUGCCUGCUGUUUCCCCAGACGUUUGUUCAAUUUGAAAUGUUUGGUUUGUUUUCUAUUUGGCAAAUACAUAAGUGUUCUCCCCUGUUGUCAUCAAACUGUAUGUUAAAAAGUGUGAUUAGGACAUUCCAAAAACUGCCUGGUGUCCUUGAGGGUGACAUUCAUAAAGGUCAGCAUUUUUAUCCGAGGUGAAGGCAUGCAGCAUUAAAUUAACCCUGUCCCAUAAAUGAUUCCCUAAAGUUAUCAGAAUGGAGGUCUCACCUUGGAAGCACAAAAAUAUUUGUCACUUUAAAUGUGUCUCAGGUAUUAAAAUGUCUCAUUAGUUAAAAGAUCUACAGUGGUGGAAACACGUUUUUUUAUAUCCAUUUCUGAUUUUGUAGGUUUUCCCACUUAAAAUAAAUUGCCAGUCUGUCAUCUAAUGGUAAGUUCAUUUGAACAGUAAGGGUUAGAAAAUCACCAAGAAAAUCAAGAAACUGACUUUAAAGAAUGCAUAUUAAUCAAUUUGCAUUUCAUUUAAUGAAAUGUGUAUUUGAACGAAUAACCAUUAGGAGUUCUGGUUCACAGAGCAGUUAGACUCUCCUAAUCAACCUGUCACCUGAAUUGAAGACACCUGUAUGAAUUAAUCACCUGUAGAUAUGACACCUGUCCACAGAACAUCAGACUCCAAACUCUCCUACAUGGAAAAGACUAAAGUGCUUUCAGUGGAUUUAAAGGAGAAGAUUAUAGACCUGCACAAGAACAGAAUGGACUACAAAACCAUCAGCAAGAAGGUGGAGGUAAAGGUGACAACAGUUGGUGCAAUUGUUUAAAAAAUACAAGAACAUCAGUCCAUCUAUAUAUGGGUGGCUCCAAACCAGAUCUGACCUGGUAAGGUUUCCAUGAUCAUAAGAACAGGGAGAAAUGGGCCUAAAACAACACAGCAGGAGAUAGGUAAUGAUCUCAAAGCAGCUGGAAGCACAGUCCCCAAGACAACAAUUGGGAAAACUCUGCAGUGGUUUACCAUCUGACAGCUUCCAAAGUAGCCCUGCUUAAGGGGGCACAUGUGCAGACCUGCCUGGAGUCUGACAGUGAACACCUUCAUGAUGUAGAGAGGGAUUGGGAGAAGGUGCUGUGGUCAGAUGAGACCAAAAUUGAGCUCUGAAUUAGUACCAACUCAACCCUUUGGGUUUGGAGGAAGAGAAAUGCUGCCUACGACCCCAAGAACACCAUCCACUGUCAUGCAUGGAGGUGGAAACGUUAUGAUUUGGGGGUGUUUUUCUGCAUAGGGCUACUUCGCUGUGUGGAUGGAAGGAUCCAUGUAGCGUCAAAUUCUGAGAACCCCCUUCUCUC
rnacentral:lncRNA from 1 species